rnacentral:tmRNA from 1 species
UAGCAUACGCUGCCUAAGUUGCAGCUGUCGGCCUCAGCAUACCCACAGGCUGAGAGUCCGGCACCGAUUAUGUGGGACACUCGUAUCCGUAAGCUUUGCCGGGUAUGAAGUAAUAUGAAGCUACUGAAGUCCGGAGUUUGUCUUUAGACGCCGGAUGGAGGGAAUGUCAAAAUAAAGACUGUGAUGGGAGAUACCGUGCGGAAUAGGUUUUCGGACAGGGGUUCGAUUCCCCUCAGGUCCAUAA